AGCGUCAACCCUUUGUCCUUUUAAAUUGCCAGCAUUCAUUGGGCACUUUUAAAGAGACUGCCGGUGUUUAAGCCGGAGGAAGUGGGAUGACGUCAAGUCCUCAUGGCCUUUAUGCCCAGGGCUACACACGUGCUACAAUGGGUGGUACAAAGAGAUGCCAACUCGCGAGAGCGCGCCAAUCUCAGAAAGCCCAUCCUCAGUUCGGAUUGGAGUCUGCAACUCGACUCCAUGAAGUUGGAAUCGCUAGUAAUCGCGGAUCAGCACGCCGCGGUGAAUACGUUCCCGGGCCUU
rnacentral:rRNA from 1 species